CAAUAGCGUAUAUUAAAGUUGUUGCAGUUGAAAAGCUCGUAGUUGGAUUUCUGGUGGGAGCGAUCGGUCUGGCGCUUAGCGCGAGUACUUGCAUCGUCUCCGGCCAUCCUUGGGGAGAGUCUGUCUGGCAUUAGGUUGUCGGGCAGAGGAUCCUCAUCGUUUACUGUGAAAAAAUUAGAGUGUUCAAAGCAGGCUUAUGCCGUUGAAUAUAUUAGCAUGGAAUAAUAAGAUAGGACUUUGGUACUAUUUUGUUGGUUUGCGCACCAAAGUAAUGAUUAAUAGGGACAGUUGGGGGUAUUCGUAUUCCGUUGUCAGAGGUGAAAUUCUUGGAUUUACGGAAGACGAACUACUGCGAAAGCAUUUACCAAGGAUGUUUUCAUUAA
rnacentral:rRNA from 1 species